AGCAGCCCAAUGUGGGUGUCAUCCUCCACACUGUACAGUUCUCCUUCCACAAGGAGAGACUCUAAGCGACCUUCAGGUGAGAAGCCGGUCAUGGUCAUGGUGGAACUCAGUUCUCGUGUCCUGUUCUUCGGAGGCCUGAGACCGAGCACCUCCACUCAGACCUUGCCCUCAAGGGGCAGGAAGAAUGGACAGGGCCUGCCCCUGGGCCCGGAGCUUCCAGAACUGACACGUGGAGAUACUGAUGCCCACCUUUCCUGCAGACCACCCCAGGAAAUGGGCAAGAAGGCCCACCAUUGCUGUCAUGAUAUUCAUGGACUGGGGCCAGAACCUGGCAACAAAGGGACUCUGGAAAGAAGCAGGCAGAUGGAUCGAGUCAUCAGUGGCAGGCUUCUGUGCCGCUGUGACAAAUCCUGUGGGCCACUGACCUCCAGACCCUGGGACAGUCUCUGUCUGCAAGCAGGACCACGUGCAGACAGAUACUGAAGCUACGUUUUUAAAAUGUUGUUCUUCAUUUAGCAAGGUGGGGCAGGUGACAGCAAACUCAAUAUGGCUCCUGGUUAGUGGCUCCGCAUGUUCGCUGCACGGACAGACACGUGCUGGCAGGCCACCACGGCGAGACACGAGCUCGGCAAAUGGGAGUGCACCUUCGGCAUCCUCUAUCCAGAGCGAAUGCCGGGAGUGGUCGUGAUGAGAAAUGGGCUUGACACUUCAUAACCUCUGGGAGAGAUGGCUUUCUUUUCUAAACAUUUAAUUACUCAGUCAUGUCGUGCAUUCAAACCCAAUUAUAAUUUAGUUUUUCGGAGAAUUUCAAAAGCUAUUCCCAGUCGGAAUUGCGCUGAAGACUCCAUUUUAUCAUCCAACAGUUCACACUUUAAUACGGGCUUAAAAAAAAACAAACAAACAAGCAAACCAGUAGUUUAAAAGUAGGAGAGGCAUUUGACAAGACCUUGGACAUGGCUCCCUAACAGGCAAUUCUUAUGGAGUAAGGAGGAGAUAAUGUCAUUUCCUAGCUUCUCUCUGGACUUGGCUCCAUUGCUAGGAGUGCAUGUGGGCACAUCAGGGAAGGGAGGAAUAAGAGAAAUGCCCUGCCUCUCGUUUAUCAGAGGAAACCUGUCCACAAGUCCUGGAGGGCUCCAGCCAGGUGUGUUUUGUCGAGGGUCUGCACAAAACAGACUUGGCUUUUAUUGUAAUGGAGGGCAGUCAAUGAGCAGCAAAAGUUGUGAAUAUGGGACGCUUUCUGCACUGUAGGUUAGGAAAUCAUAGGCCAGCAGCCAGUGCAAGUUUUGAAUUUCCCUGAGAAACCUCUCUCGCUCUCACGCCGUGGGUCCUGGAAAGGAAGUUUCCAUUCCCACCAGCAGCCUGGCGGCUCACACACUCUAGAUUAGAAGAUACACACGUUGGUCCAGUUAGAAAACCCAACAGCUGGGAAGAGCUAGCAUUCAACUUGUUGAGCCUCCUAGAAAGAAAAAUGAAAGGUUAAGUGACUUAAAUCUGUGGAAAGGAAUGCGUUUUCUUUUGUGUGUUUCCGCCUGCCACUGGAGAGCAAGGCCACGUCCAGGGAGUCGCUGAGGUCCGACUGUGGGGCUCCACAGGGAGCUACGGGGCGUGCCCAUCUGGCCUCUCCUGUGCCAUCGCAACACUGACAUCGCCAAAAACCGCCAGGGAAACGUGCAGCUAGUUUCUUGGCAACGUAAAGGAAACGAUGGGAAGAAUCCUUUGUUACUGGGAACAGGUAACAUCGCCCCGCAGGCCACGGUUCUUCUGCAGCUGCCUGUGCGAUCUGGUCCAUUGAUUCCACCACUGGGAGUGCGUUAGCUAGGAGACCCCUCAUCAGAGUUGAAAAUGGCCUUGGCACCCAGUUCUUCUCCCCGCUUGGGCGGACCAGAGGUGUGGCUCUCGGGGAGAGUGGCUGACUCCCGAACAGCCUUUCAGUGAAUGGGAACGUUGGGCCUGAAACCCAGGUCCCUGCCAUUAGCCCGAGGUUCUCAUUGCAGGAUUUCUCCGUGGACUGUCUCUGUGUUUGGGGGGUGAGUACAGGAGGGAAUCAAGAAGCUGGGAGGGUGACAUGCAAGUCCAUGACCCUCUUCCCCUUCUCUAAAGGGUAGACACCCUCCAUCUCAAUGGCAGUUAGAGAAAGCAAGCAAAACUCCCAGGCGGCAGUAUUACUUCCUGAGCCUUGUCUCAAAUGGGGAUGGUAUCUUCCCUUUGGAGCCAGAGGUAAGAUAUGAGUCUGGGACGUGUGCCUUCUUUGUAAAUCUGGAAGGCUGCCUUAAGGUUCUAAAUGAUACUGAGAUUUGCUAAAGUCCACCUUGUCAAUAGCUCUUUUUGUUGGAUAUUUAAAGUUCAGGAGCUUUGUUUGCUUUGGUUAAGUGCUCUCAAGUGUUUCAACAGCCACUGACCGGUUUAUAUAAACAAACGAAGGAACACACCGAUAGUCCCUGAUACCGGAAGCAGCUUGAGUCUAACGAGUAGCAGAAAUCCUCAGUGACUUACAGAUAAGCCGUCCACACACCUGCCCAGUGCACUUCACUUGGUGAAACAACAACAGGUGUGUGCCCAUGACUUUGAAUGGGUUAAGAGGGAACGACUGGGGGAAAAAUAUUUACUGCUUAAAGCAUGUGUUUCUUGAAAUUUAUUAAUUGGAGAACAUUUGGUUAAAAAGUACAAUGCUAACCCUGAUACCAUUAUUUGUUUUUAAGGGAUAAAUUUUCUUUUGUUGCUGGUCGUCUCAUUUCUGCUUGAGAUGAUUUUAAUUGGGUUUGUUAGGAAAUUGGUUUCCUCCAAGUAUUAGUUAUUUUAUAUAAUUUGUCAUCCAUUCAGAUCUUGACAGAGUAUCAUUAUUUCUUAAGGAAACUCCAUUAAAGGACAGUGACUUUUUAAGCUCCUUGGGCUCAAUGCUUAUCUAUGCAUAGGGGAAAUUUUUAUCAUCACUUGAUGUCAGCUUCAAACAACUCUAACAACAUGUAUUUCCAUCUUUAUAGAGAAAGAUGAUCGAAGUCCGACAUCCUCUAAGCUAUUAUACCAGAGUUUUCAGACACUUAAAAGGUGGUAUGUUUGUUCCAAAGUUCUUAGUCCUACCUGCUCUGCUUGGCUGGGUGCCGGAGAGUCACAGAGGGGCUUUGCAAUGUGGAAGUUGGAGGUGGGAGCUUUGGAUCCACAUAUCCCACUUUAAAAGCUCAGCUUUUGGCAUGAAUCUCCUACACUGUAAUCAUAAAACAGAGAUCAUAAUAUCCAACACAUCAUUGUGGGACCCGAUUGAGACACUGGACUAGGUUUCAUCACAUGGACUUUUCAAUAUGUGACCAUUAUUUACAACAUUUCACCAUGAUAAGCCCCGAGGUUCACCUGGUUUUGUUGCAUGGCUAUAGCCUUUCGAGAAUUUCCCAUCAGACCGAAGCGCCCACUGAACAGCAGCUUCAAAGACAGAGAGUGCAGGCCGGGCGGAGGGGAAUCUGAGUUUACCAGCGAGGAGGAGGCUCGGGGCUGGGCCAGGAGGAGGGAGCGGAGGAGGGGGGAGGGAUGAGCGCAGACCCUGCCGGCGGCUCUUCUUGCCACGUGUCUGCAGGCGGCAUUUGGCCCAACCCUGCUGUGUCCUCAUUAGCUCGCGCUUUUCUGUGAAUGAUCACUUUUAUAACUGGAUCGAUAAAACCAAGCCAGGCUCUAGAAACUUCAUAAUGUGCUUUAUUUUAGACAUAUUUUCAAAAAA